CAGUCGCCGCGGUAAUACGAAGGGGGCUAGCGUUGUUCGGAAUUACUGGGCGUAAAGCGCACGUAGGCGGAUAUUUAAGUCAGGGGUGAAAUCCCGCAGCUCAACUGCGGAACUGCCUUUGAUACUGGGUAUCUUGAGUAUGGAAGAGGUUAGUGGAAUUGCGAGUGUAGAGGUGAAAUUCGUAGAUAUUCGCAGGAACACCAGUGGCGAAGGCGGCUAACUGGUCCAUAACUGACGCUGAGGUGCGAAAGCGUGGGGAGCAAACAGGAUUAGAGACCCCUGUAGUCCCUGUCUCUUAUAU
rnacentral:rRNA from 1 species